GUGCCAGCAGCCGCGGUAAUACAGAGACCUCGAGCAUUAUCCGGAUUCAUUGGGCGUAAAGGGUCCGCAGGUGGCCGUUCACGUCACGGGUUAAAUUUUAGGGCUCAACCCUGAAACCGCUCGUGAUACGGUUCGGCUCGAGCAUGGGAGAGGUACGCGGAAUUACCGGUGUAGUAGUAAAAUGCGUUCAUAUCGGUAAGAACACCAAAUGCGAAGGCAGCGUACUGGAACAUUGCUGACACUCAGGGACGAAAGCGUGGGGAGCGAAAGGGAUUAGAUACCCCGGUAGUCCUGGCUGUAAACGAUGGGCACUAGGUGUCGGAGGCUUCGACCCCUUCGGCGCCGCAGUUAACACAUUAAGUGCCCCGCCUGGGGACUACGGCCGCAAGGUUAAAACUCAAAGGAAUUGGCGG
rnacentral:rRNA from 1 species